CAGGUUCCCAACAGGGGGCUAUAAUCUUUCAAACAGUAAAAUUAUUGUUUUGUAUGUUCAACUUAUGCUCACACAUGAAAAUGUUGGCUCUCAUGAAAUGGUGCAGAAUUUAUUGUCUGUAACAGUGCAUUUACAAGCACUACAAAACAAGGUCAUUACAAAACAUAAUUUUUCCCAGUACAAAGCAAAGUUGCAGUAUUACUAUUAAACAAUAUAAUUUGUCAACUGUAAAAAAACAUUGAUAGCCUAUAAAUUAAGCUAUAUAUUGCAUGAAAUUUAAGGCAAAACAAGGUGGAGAACUAACAUUUCCAGCUAUUAUAUUAUCACUUUGUCAUUAUUAAAUAGUAUUAAAAUACAAUAUGUCAUUAUUAAAUACAUUUAGUAUAAAAUACAAUAUUUUUACAUAAAUUAAGAGCCUUUGAUGAAAUUGAUAUAAAAUCAAUAAAGUAAGUCUAUUAAAUAUAGUAUAUUAUAAAAUAAUUUAUAUUUUAU